rnacentral:rRNA from 1 species
AUUGAACGCUGGCGGCAUGCCUUACACAUGCAAGUCGAACGGCAGCACGGGAGCAAUCCUGGUGGCGAGUGGCGAACGGGUGAGUAAUAUAUCGGAACGUGCCCAGUCGUGGGGAUAACGUAGCGAAAGCUACGCUAAUACCGCAUACGAUCUAUGGAUGAAAGCGGGGGGAUCGCAAGACCUCGCGCGAUUGGAGCGGCCGAUAUCAGAUUAGGUAGUUGGUGAGGUAAAGGCUCACCAAGCCGACGAUCUGUAGCU